rnacentral:rRNA from 1 species
AUUGAACGCUGGUGGCAUGCCUUACACAUGCAAGUCGAACGGUAACAGGUCUUCGGAUGCUGACGAGUGGCGAACGGGUGAGUAAUACAUCGGAACGUGCCCGAGAGUGGGGGAUAACGAGGCGAAAGCUUUGCUAAUACCGCAUACGAUCUCAGGAUGAAAGCAGGGGACCGCAAGGCCUUGCGCUCACGGAGCGGCCGAUGGCAGAUUAGGUAGUUGGUGGGAUAAAAGCUUACCAAGCCGACGAUCUGUAGCUGGUCUGAGAGGACGACCAGCCACACUGGGACUGAGACACGGCCCAGACUCCUACGGGAGGCAGCAGUGGGGAAUUUUGGACAAUGGGCGCAAGCCUGAUCCAGCCAUGCCGCGUGCAGGAUGAAGGCCUUCGGGUUGUAAACUGCUUUUGUACGGAACGAAAAGACUCUGGUUAAUACCUGGGGUCCAUGACGGCACCGUAAAAAUAAGCACCGGCUAACUACGUGCCAGCAGCCGCAGUAACAC